GCGAUUGUCACGGCACAUUCCACGGUAGUUUCUUCCAGUUCCGCGACUCGCGGGCCCCUCCUAAUGUCAGGGACUUAAGAUUGGGGCUCGCUGGGACCUGGUGGUCCGGUUAUGGGAAAAGAAGCCUCGUGGGAGAGCAGAGGUUUGGUGGGGCGAGGGCGGCGGCUUUUGUUGUGUCAGCGGAGCCUUCUUGGGCUGGGGCUCCCCUCGUGUCCCGCGGCGGGAGGCGGGGGGCAUUGGGACUUGGUUGGGUCGCGUCUCGCCUGGUUUGAGGGUUUCCGGGGCUCUGAGCUCGCCCACUCCGCCUCCCUGCACUCCAGGCGCGCAGUCACUUUUUUACAGUGCAAGGUUGGCGUGUUAAUCUCCCUGGGCCUCUCCUUGCUGUUCUUUAAAAUGGGGACGUUAGGACCAUCUUUGUAGAAUCGUUUUGGUAACUGGAAUAGGUUACACAACACAAACAGUCCCUGUCACUUGGUGAGUGGUGGUUUCUUGUUACUUUCCCACGAAACCUGUUAGGUCCCCCGGUGGGGUCAGAGCUCCAGCAGCAGGGGCCUCAGCCCUUAUCUCUGAUCCCUGCAGGACGCUGGACGAUCCCGGACGCCUUCUGACCUCUUUUUAGGCAGGCGAGGGUUGCGUCCACUUCCACGAAGGGAGGGGAGCAUUUAACUUUUCUCAGGGACAGCGACCCAGUCAGGAUGUUUCACAGCUUUCUCCUUCCCCAGCCUGAAAAAGGACUGCGCGGACUGACUUCUUGGCUACUGAAAGCAAAGCUCCACUGUUCCAGGCACGAUUCUGCCUUCUCUCAAAUGGCAUAACUCAGGACUCUGCAAAUUCCCAGAAACAGGAGGAAAAAUGACCACAUUCAAGGAGGGACUGACCUUCAAGGAUGUGGCUGUGGUCUUCACUGAGGAGGAGCUGGGGCUGCUGGACCCUGUCCAGAGGAAUCUGUACCAAGAUGUGAUGCUGGAGAACUUCAGGAACCUGCUGUCAGUGGGUGAGGACAUGAGCUUUCUAACACUCAAUGUCAGUCUCUUGGAGUGAUUUUGUGUCUUCAGGGGUUCAACACUUUGGAGGUCUUGAAUUAGUCGCCUACAUUUGUAGACCUGACUUUCCUAUCAGUAGUUUUUAGUGAAAUAAAAUGAGAUAGAAAUAUCAGAGUUCACUAAAAUUAAUGGAAUACAUAGCAAAUAAAACUGGUAAAUUGCAUGAGUGGUGUGAGAACUUGUGGGAGGAGAUUUAAUGAAAAUAAACGGGGGCCAGGCACAGUGGCUCACGCCUGCAAUCCCAGCACCUUGGGAGGCUGAGGCAGGUGGAUCACCUGAGGUCGGGAGUUCGAGACCAGCCUGGCCAACAUGAUGAAACUCUAUCUCUACC
rnacentral:lncRNA from 1 species